rnacentral:lncRNA from 1 species
AAGAAAGUCCAAACCUAUUAGGAUAAAGAAAAACAAAUAAUAUUUUAAAUAUCAAUUGUUUAACUCUAACUUAUUGGAAUAAAAAAAAUGACUAAGACCUACUUAAAUUAGGGAAAAGACCUCAAAGGCUAAUAAAAACCAACUCUUUUUUGAUUCGGACCGCUUCUUCAAUAUGGGCCUCGAGUUGUGCUGCAUCAUGCACCUAAAACCAUCCAUGAAGAAUACCAGUAAGUUUCUUUAUAGGUAUUCUGAACACUCACUCUAUAACUUAUUUAGUACAAAUAUUCCUCAUAUUGAUCGAGACAGAUAGGGUUAAAGAUUGACAAAUAUGAGUUUAGUUGGCAUCCCUACUCAAAAGGAGAAGAGCUCGAGUCGCUGUUAAAUUAACAUUUAACUUCUUAAGAGAAAAUUAAAUAAAAAAUUAUGUUGUUCAUAUUUUUUGUGAGUAUCUAUAUUUAAUAAUGUUUCCAUGCCCAAGUAUAAGUUACUAACUUAAGAAAAUAUUUUCAUUUUUUCAAUUGCCAAGUAAAUUCUUCAUUAUAAGUAGUAGUGUAAAUAAAUGUAUUUUAUUAAUGUUAAAGGCAAACGACCCUAAAAUGUAAUGAAAAUUUGGCAUAUUUCGAGAAAUGUCGAAACAGUUUCGAUAUAGAUUUUUUGCCAUAUGGUAUGACGUUUCACGCAAAAAAUGUAUCACCGUAAAAUUGCAAUGUAUUCCCUGCCGCGUGGUCUUGACGACAUUUAUUUUUAAUGCAAAGAGGCAAUUGCCUUGUCAUCUUAUUAAUGUUGAAAGUCUAGAAAUUUAAAGCAAGCUUACAUUGUUUGAGCACUAAUAAGCCUAGAUGGGAGGUGUAUUCCCGACAUGGGGUUUACAAGGAGCCUCAACGAUCUUCACUGGAUGAAUGAAUAACCCAUUUUCAAACUCUCUUGACCAAUUAAUCCUAAGCAAACAAAAACAGUCUAGACUCGAACAAACAAAAACUCAAAUACUGUAAAGAACAAAAGACUGACUGGAUCGACUCGACAACAAGAUCGAACCAAUACAACAAACACACAAGAUACCUAGAAAACAAGAAAAAAAACACUAAAGAGCCACUAAUUCAUACUCUUAAGCCUAUCUAAAGCAUCUGAAGAACAUAGAAAACGCAAAUCAAAACUAAAAACCGAAUCGUACCAUUAAGCAGAAGGAGAUACAUAAAAGUAGCAAUGGUCUUCAACCGUUGUCUACGCGAGGUGAUCCGCCUAUGUAGUGCCAAAACUGUUUAUGUCGAUGGGCAGGCCAACCUUCUUUUCUCCAGAGGGCAUGCACUUCCUUGGUGAUUUCGAUGGAUUGGACCUUGUAGUCUCGCCCGUCUCCAUUAAAUCCAGAACCAGCUCUGUCUUAGCCACCUCAUCCACCUCACGAUCUUCGAUACCGAGUACUUCAACAUCCCUUUCCAUCACUGCAGCAUCAGCGUUCGUAACCAUUAAAAUUGAGCCUAGGGAAGGUGGCAAAUAAAGAACGGUUAGUGGUGUUUGGGAGGGAAAGGAUUUGCAAGCUAUCUCACAAAGAUUAAACGAAAUUUGCUCUUAUACGAGAGAAAACAGAAGAUAAAAAUCGAUAGAAACCAGGGGCUAGCGUUUU